rnacentral:tRNA from 1 species
GGCUAGAUAGCUCAGUUGGUAGAGCGGAGGACUGAAAAUCCUUGUGUCCCUGGUUCGAUUCCUGGUCUAGCCACCA